CCUGUAACAACUUGUGCGUUUUACGUGUGUAUAAAGAAUUGUAGUUGGAAAUUUUGAGUGUGAAUUUUAUACAUUUCUUAGACCUAACCAACAGCAGUUGUGAAAAAUGCAAUUAUAUACCAUCUGACAGGAAUCGAACCUGCAGCCCUGCGAUUCUGAUGCAGCGCUCUAACCAACUGCGGAGGUAAAAAUCUUUUCCGUGGAACGAAACCCACCGGGCACACGACGUUGUUUCAACGUUGAAAUUUGGUAGAAAAAAGGUUGCGACGUCGACAACCUAAUAUCUACGUUGCUCUGACGUUGUUUUACAAACAUUGGUUCAACGGCAGCCAACAGACGUUGAAUUAACGUUCAUUCAUGGUUAAAUGUACGACUCGUCGAUUUGUGAACCAAUCUCAACGUUGUUUUAACGCGGAUUCAACGUUGAAUUAUGGUUGACGAGAUUGGCAACCGAAUUUCAACGUUGUUUCACCGUCGAAACAGUAACGUCGAUCCAAUUUGCAUAUUCAACCCUUUUUCAACGUCUAUCCAAUGUCUGGAAGGUCAUUUUCAACGUUGAUUCAACAUUGGAUAAACGUCAUUUUGCCCGCUGGGAAGCGUCAAGGAAUUUAUUUAAUUUAUUUUAUUUCGUGAAAAGUGUUGUUCAGAUUGCAUUUUUG